CACGAAAACCAGUCUAGAAUAAAAACAGAAUUAAUAAUGUAUUUACAGGAUAUGGCAUAUGUAAGCCAUACAGGAAGUACUGUAUAUGAUAUGUUAUGAAAAAGUGUAUCUGUCAUCAUUUACUGGAUACCACUGUAAUGUACACUUACACUGUCUGCAUUGGUACUGUAUACAAAAUAAAAGCAAUCACCUUGGUAACCUUGUAAUCAUCAACAUAGACCUAUGCACUCCCAUAGGAAGGUGUUUUUUUUUUAAGUUUAAAGUAAAGUAAAGUAAAGUAAGACACAAAUUCAACAUGCAUGUGGUGAUUAUUGCCGUUAUCUAGCUAUUAGUGCAUUUAUGUAUUCAAUAAAUUCUGACAAGCUAUGAAUCAAAAAAAUAUGAAUCAUAGUAACAGACUAUUACAAGCAUCUCUUUAAGUCUAUAAUAAUGAAAGGGUGAAUAGUAAAGUAAAAAGAGCUAUGCCUUUUUUGGAGGCAAGCGGUCUGUAAACAAAGGGAUACGUCAGCUGACAAACUGACAAACUGGUUUGACUUUAAAUGGAUUUUUCUUUGUCUCAUUUUAAUCCAAAAAAAGUGACAGUGUUUUAAAAUGUCAAAACAAAUAAAAAUAAUAAUAAUUCUUAUUGCACAGCUACUUCAACUCAAACUCAAUGGGAAUGAUAGGUUCAGUUUCAUUUUAAAUUAUUUUGUGGUGCUAUAUCCUUAUUCAUCUUAACAUGGAAACAAAACACACGUCGAAACCGUAAACAACACCUGACGAGCUUUUCCCAAACUACCUGAACGUACCUGAAUGACGUCAACCCCGGCUGCAACGUCUGCUGAUAGGUGUUUUCAAAAUGGGCGUCUUUAUCGUCACCUACAAGUCCAAGUUCCCUCAGACACUUUUAACAAACAGUCGGGCACAACUGGAGAUUGAACCAGCAUCGUAAAGUGCGAGAAAUAUAUGACAGGAUGGCAUCCAUUUCAACUGACCAGAAUACACAGCCGACCCCUCAACUGCUGUCAGUGGGAGAAAAGGAUAGGAAACGGCUGCUGGAGGUGUAUGUAAAGCGAAGUCUCAGCCUUAACGAUGGAUCACAAUGUCCUCUGAGACAGGAGCAAAGAUCACGCAAAUGGGUUGCCAUCAAAGAGCGCAAGACAAGAGAUCGCAAACAUUCCAGCGAUACAUCUCUGAAAUUGACUUUACAAGCCUCCAUCUCAGAUGAGGACAUUAGAUACGAGCCCCUCGCUGAACCGCAAAUGGAUAAAAAGGAGACAUCGUCUGAGAAGAAAUCCAAAAAGUGGAGAGGUAGAGGGAGUCUGCGGCGCGACGAUGGGUCUAAUGCAUCGCAAAAGUCCAACAGCAAACCCAAGAAGAAGUUUUUAAUUUUGGAUAAGGGCAAGGAGGAAGGUGGGCAAAGCAUUGAUUCUUUAUCCCCCCAAACAAGUACAGUUACUGCUGGAAAUAUGCAUUCAAAUGUGCAAGAAAAUCUGGAGACUUCUGUAACGGAAAGGAAGGACAAAGUAGGCAAGAAGACAAAGAAAUCCACUAUAUGGAAGAGUUUCUUGAGCUGGUUUUCCAAAGGAAAUGGUGAAAAGGAGCAAAAUCAUCAGAGAACCGAAGAACAGCUCCCUCUUUCCCAUCCCUCAACACCCCAAAUCUCUUGUUUGCCUUUAGCUGACCCCCCAUCAAAAGGCGAUAUCAACCUGCGCCGUUCAAAAUCGACAAAAAAGAAAUCGUUGCUCAGGAGAUCAUUAAAAUGGAGGCGAAGUGGAGAUAUGUCCACUGAAAAAUCAGCUGUUGAGAUAGUGGAACCCACUAACUCAUACUAUGAGAAAAUGUCAGAGGAACUGGAGAAAAUUGUGCAUGAAGUGAAAGACAGUCCAGCUGAUGACAAUGGCACUCAAAUAACAGACCAGAAGGGUGGAAAUGUCUCACAAGAAGUCUCACAAGAAGAGGUUAUCAGGAAAAUCAUACAAGUUGUAAAGCAGCAAGGAGACUUAAUAAAUAUCAAGCUGAAAGAGAGCAGCACCGUAACCACUUUUCUGAAUGGAAUCACCUAUAGAUCCUUCCAGCAAGUGGCUGAUCAAUACGUGCAGUCAGAAGUUCCCAAUAAGAAAACCCAGCCGCCUGUCGUGGCACCAGAGCUGGUGAAGUUCGCCUUCACUCUGGAUUUCACAGCCAGAGUGGCUAAUCUAAAUCGCCAAGCCACGGGCCAAAUCAUGGGCUUCGGGAACCAGUAUCUCCAAGAUCAUUUCACUCACAUGAGCGAGAGCCAUCCGCAUCUCUCUGACAUUAAAGCAAAGGAUCAGAAAACACAGAACUCUGAUCAAGAAUUCAUAAGCUUGUAGAAGCAUGAGCUUCUAGUUGACCUAUAGUUUUAUGGCUUGAUUUACCUUUGAAAUGUAGCAACACAAAACAAGCCAUUUAACGAUUUUGCACAAUAACACACACCAGAAAGAACUGGGUUGGUAAUAUCAUAAAACAUUCAUGUGAAAUGUUAUGUAGUUUUACAUCAUAAAAACCCUGAAUGAAGUAAGAGAAAUCUAAAAUGUGAUUUUAUUGUUUUUUGAUGUAAUUAUGAUGUAUUUGCACAACUGCAAUUAUUGUUUUAUUUACAUAAUGCAUUUUUAUCUAUAUAUUAUAACUCAGAUUUAUAAGCUUUGCUCACUAUAUAUAUAUUUAAGAUAUGUUGUAACUGUAUAUGCAGGCAUAUGCAGAAUGUUUACUAAUAAAUAUAAAAUAUAUUGAAUAAACAUGUUUUGUCAAGUGUUGUGAAUUUCAUUUAUUUCUUAACUUAUAAAUGAAGUUAAAAUUAUGGAGAAUUGAAAUUAAAAAAAUAUAUAUUGUUACAUUAAAAUAUGUACUUUUUUAAUACCAAAUAAUUAUCAAUUUAAAUUAUUAAUGAUUUUAAAUAAUGAGCAUAGCAAAUUUAGUUAGGAAUGACCAAAAAAAAAUAAAUAAAUUACAGCCAGCUAUUGGCUGAUAUAGCCUAGUUUAAUGCUAAAUUGUGCAAUGUUAUUUUCAUUGAUCUAUUUGAUCCAUCCUUAAUUUAAUCAUUUUUCUUUUUAAUAAACAAUAUGCACAGUGAAAUCAGUCUGUCCCAAUCCCACCUGAUAAUGCAUUUAUUAGAUUAUAACAGUCUCACAUUCAUAAAACAAAAUAUCACUGUGGCAUGUUUAUUAUAUUUUUACUAAAUUCUUACUACAUUCAGUCAUUUUUAUUGGAUUUUUAUUAUUAUUAUUAUUUCUUUAUAGCUUUUGUUUUAGUAAUUUUCGUACUUUAGUAACUUAUUUUCCUUUAAUUCUCAAAUCAACAUUUCUCUUUUUUUUUUGUUCUUGUUAGGUUUAUCUAAAAUUUGUUAUUUCAGUUUUCAAUUAAUUAUAAUAACAACACUGAUAUGUAUACAUUGGCAUAUUCAGAGAAUACACCGCAUAUUCAACUAUUCUGCAGUAGAGACUUCUGUUUGUAAUAUAACAUUCAUAACAAGUCAUUCAGUCUUCCUCUUGUACAUCCAUGUCAGAAAUAAAAGGAGAAGAGAGAUUGUCAUCUACUUCUGUGUUCAGUAAUAAACUUCCCUCACAAUCAAGUCGGUCCUUCUGAAGCUGUAGUGGUUCAGGAUGGCUGCCCAUUUCUAACUUUAAGUUGAGCUGCAGGAGGAAGGCUGAAGAUAGUGGCUCUGCAUCUGUAAGGAUGUCAGCUGUCUUUUUGGAGAAACCGCCAGAUCCGGUGAGCUGGAAGCAGAGGAGAGAUCGUUGUCUAGACCAGAGAGGCUGAGUCUGGCUCCUGAGCUCCAGCUGCUUCUUUGAGGUUGAAGUGGAUAGACACCGUGGCAGAAAAUGCAAAGCAAGAGAAGGUAAAGGGAAAGAGGACCAAGGAAGGAAUGUAAAAGAAAGAGAUGGGAAACAGGACCAGGGUGGAAGAAACAGAGCAAGAGUGGGGUGCAAAGUUGGAAUUUGCAAAAGCAGGAAUCUGGAAAAAUUCAGGAACAUCUAAUAAUGGUAAUAAGUUCAAAGUCUACAAUCUAAAUAUGUAUACACAUUGUUCUUAAUUCAGAAAUGAUGUCAGAUUAUGGCAGUUAAAUAGUUUGCUAAUGUCAUUUCAUGUUGAUUAAAUGGGUGCAAAACUUUGCUCUACUCAUUUUACCUGUUUGGCAAAAGUCCUCUCAAGUGUGUAAAGACUAACCACAGAUGUGCCAUCACUUCCUGUUUGAAUUCCCUGCCUGCAUUCAGAGCCUGGUGGGGAAUUUUCUCCACCCAGCAUAAAAACCUGUUUGGUGUCCAAACACAUGCAAAAAAAAAAACAAUGAAUGACAAUAGGCACUUCUUCAUAUCUCAUGUACUAUUAAUAUACAUAGAAAUGAGAAACACAAGCAACAUAUUUAGACUAAAGAUACUGACCUAUGAUGAAUGAGAUGACAGCUGAAGCAGGCAGAGUGUACGGCAGUAGGGUGUAGGAAAUGAGACGACACGGCAGGAUGUUGUUGUGAAAGGUCCAGAUGCCAAACCGCUCAAUUAAAUUACAAAGCAGAGCUGAAGAGAGAGAUUUCAUUUUAGCAUGUGCAUUUUUACAUACAGUGCAAACAUGAAAGCAAUGUGUCAAAGUAUUAUUCUGGUAAUUAUAUCAUUGUUUAAUCAUUGUGCAUUAUACAGCUGCCUCAAAGUGUUAAAUUACUUCAAUGUUAAAUAAUAUUUCAUUAAAUAAUAUCAAACAAAGUGUAAUCUGGAAAAAAAAGUGUUUCUGAGCCAUCUAUGAAAAGGCUGCAUAUAUUUGAUCAAAAAAAUACAACAAAAACAAUACUAUUGUGAAAUAUUGUUACAAUUUAAAAUGUGAUUUCUAUUUGAAUAUAUUGUAAAAUGUAAUUUAUCCCUGUGAUGCAAAGCUGAACAUUCAUUACAUGAUCUUUCAGAAAUCAUUGUAAUUUUGAUUUGCUGGUCAUUUCUUAUUAAAGUAUUUCAUAAAGUUUGCUGCUUAAAAACUUUUUGCUUUGAUAUUUUUAACAUACUGCAAUGAUACUGCAUUUUGAACACGACUUCGCUGUUUAAAUACUUUUCAGGCCUGUAUAUCACUAGAUGCUGUUUGUCAUGCUUAUUUCAGGCAUGAACAACUUGUACCACAAAAACAUUUGCCCGACAUGAUCCUUCUGUAGAGCAGGUGGGAUAUAAGGGGCGUAAUGAGGGUAAGAGUGAUGGAGGGCUGCCCACUGGCCCUCAUAAAGCUCUGAUGCAAGGUGAAUAAAAGCUGAGUGUCAUUAACUAAAGCUGGAAGUGCACUGAAUCUUCUGGAGUGAUCAUGUAUGUUAUUGGGCUACUCACCUCUUUGUAUCCAAGCUGGCAUGCUGAUAUACAGUAAAUGCUCCAGUAAGUUCAGGUUCCAGGGUAAAUCCUCAAGCCCAUGAUAGUACUCCUCCGGUAACUCAGUAUCUGUCUUUUAUUUCUUCAAAAGGCUCUGCUUUGUCCCUACCUUUUCUCUUCUUCUUCUAUUUAUCGGGUUCGUAACCCAAAACCAACAAUAGAAAACAAAAAAAAAAAAAAAAAACAAAUAGAAUGACAAUAGGCACUUCUUCAUAUCUCAUGUACUAUUAAUAUACAUAGAAAUGAGAAACACAAGCAACAUAUUUAGACUAAAGAUCUGACCUAUAGAUGAAUGAGAUGACAGCUGAAGCAGGCAGAGUGUACGGCAGUAGGGUGUAGGAAAUGAGACGACACGGCAGGAUGUUGUUGUGAAAGGUCCAGAUGCCAAACCGCUCAAUUAAAUUACAAAGCAGAGCUGAAGAGAGAGAUUUCAUUUUAGCAUGUGCAUUUUUACAUACAGUGCAAACAUGAAAGCAAUGUGUCAAAGUAUUAUUCUGGUAAUUAUAUCAUUGUU
rnacentral:lncRNA from 1 species